UACGUAGGUGGCAAGCGUUAUCCGGAAUUAUUGGGCGUAAAGCGCUCGCAGGCGGCUUCUUAAGUCUGAUGUGAAAGCCCACGGCUCAACCGUGGAGGGUCAUUGGAAACUGGGAGACUUGAGUGCAGAAGAGGAGAGUGGAAUUCCACGUGUAGCGGUGAAAUGCGUAGAGAUGUGGAGGAACACCAGUGGCGAAGGCGACUCUCUGGUCUGUAACUGACGCUGAGGAGCGAAAGCGUGGGGAGCAAACAGG
rnacentral:rRNA from 1 species